GAUGAACGCUGGCGGCGUGCCUAAUACAUGCAAGUCGAGCGAACAGAUGAGGAGCUUGCUCCUCUGACGUUAGCGGCGGACGGGUGAGUAACACGUGGAUAACCUACCUAUAAGACUGGGAUAACUUCGGGAAACCGGAGCUAAUACCGGAUAAUAUAUUGAACCGCAUGGUUCAAUAGUGAAAGACGGUUUUGCUGUCACUUAUAGAUGGAUCCGCGCCGCAUUAGCUAGUUGGUAAGGUAACGGCUUACCAAGGCAACGAUGCGUAGCCGACCUGAGAGGGUGAUCGGCCACACUGGAGCGGAGACACGGUCCAGACUCCUACGGGAGGCAGCAGUAGGGAAUCUUCCGCAAUGGGCGAAAGCCUGACGGAGCAACGCCGCGUGAGUGAUGAAGGUCUUCGGAUCGUAAAACUCUGUUAUUAGGGAAGAACAAAUGUGUAAGUAACUAUGCACGUCUUGACGGUACCUAAUCAGAAAGCCACGGCUAACUACGUG
rnacentral:rRNA from 1 species